rnacentral:rRNA from 1 species
AGAGUUUGAUCAUGGCUCAGAACGAACGCUGGCGGCGUGGAUAAGACAUGCAAGUCGAACGAGACUUUUCGUUGUAGCAAUACGAUGGAAAGUUUAGUGGCGAACGGGUGCUUAACACGUGGGCAACCUGCCAGGAAGUGGGGGAUAGCUCGCCGAAAGGCGAAUUAAUACCGCAUGUGAUUAGAGAGGACAUCCUUUCGAAAUUAAAGUCGGGGCAACCUGACGCUUCUUGUGGGGCCCGCGGCCUAUCAGCUAGUUGGUGAGGUAACGGCCCACCAAGGCUUUGACGGGUAGCUGGUCUGAGAGGACGACCAGCCACACUGGGACUGAGACACGGCCCAGACACCUACGGGUGGCAGCAGUCGAGAAUUUUUGACAAUGGGGGAAACCCUGAUCGAGCGACGCCGCGUGGAGGAUGAAGGUCUUCGGAUUGUAAACUCCUGUCAUAGGGGAACAGUGCACAGAUAUUAACUGUAUUUGUGUUGAUAGUACCCGAAGAGGAAGGGACGGCUAACUCUGUGCCAGCAGCCGCGGUAAUACAGAGGUCUCAAGCGUUGUUCGGAUUCAUUGGGCGUAAAGGGUGCGUAGGCGGCGCGGUAAGUCGGGUGUGAAAUCUCGGGGCUUAACUCCGAAACUGCAUUCGAUACUGCCGUGCUUGAGGACUGGAGAGGAGACUGGAAUUUACGGUGUAGCGGUGAAAUGCGUAGAUAUCGUAAGGAAGACCAGUGGCGAAGGCGGGUCUCUGGACAGUUCCUGACGCUGAGGCACGAAGGUCAGGGGAGCAAACGGGAUUAGAUACCCUAGUAGUCC